GGGAAUGUAAGGCAUCGACAAAGGAUUAGUUUUGUAUGGUGCGUGCCGAGCUCGUGCGAAACGCUCGUAAAACAGCGCACAAAACUCAAAUGCAAAAACAUUUGGUAAGGUAACAUCACCAUACUUCGGUAUGGCUGAUCUUGCUCUCGCUCGAGCUUAAGCUCGCGAGUGUCUCUGUGUUCGACUUCCGAUAAAAUACACGAGGCAACAUCUAUCGGGAUAGAAAAAUAUCGCGUCUCAGAUAAUUUUCGAAACAAUUGAGAAUCGAGUAAAUAUUAUUUUGUUGGUUUUAUAGAUAUUUGCUUUAAACAAAUAAAACAAACUAUGCACGUAGACUCCAUACGAAACCUCCCUUGCACGGGGGUUCGACUCCCCCCAUUUCCACUG
rnacentral:tmRNA from 2 species